UGAGGAAUAUUGGUCAAUGGACGCAAGUCUGAACCAGCCAAGUAGCGUGCAGGAUGACGGCCCUAUGGGUUGUAAACUGCUUUUAUAUGGGGAUAAAGUGGGGAACGUGUUCCCUUUUGCAGGUACGAUAUGAAUAAGGACCGGCUAAUUCCGCUCCAGCAGCCGCGGUAAUACGGAAGGUUCGGGCGUUAUCCGGAUUUAUUGGGUGUAAAGGGAGCGUAGGCCGUUUGGUAAGCGUGUUGUGAAAUGUAGGAGCUCAACUUCUAGAUUGCAGCGCGAACUGUCAGACUUGAGUGCGCACAACGUAGGCAGAAUUCAUGGUGUAGCGGUGAAAUGCUUAGAUAUCAUGAAGAACUCCGAUUGCGAAGGCAGCUUACGGGGGCGCAACUGACGCUGAAGCUCGAAGGUGCGGGUAUCGAACAGG
rnacentral:rRNA from 1 species